GGGAUGUAGCUCAGUGGUACAGUGUGUGCCUAGCAUGUGCAAGAUCAUAGGUUUGAUCCCCACACAUCAUCA
rnacentral:tRNA from 1 species